GCCGUCCUCCAGGUCCCCAGAGUGCCUGCCGUGGACAAAAGGGCAUGCUGUCCCACCUAGCCAGCCGCCUGGACCACAGGCACGUACUUCAGGCCGCCCUGUGAAAGGUGCCUUGGGGGACAUCGGAGGGAUCCGGAAGUUGGUCUGUCUUGGGGAAGGGUCCCUAGGUAUGUGGUGUGUGUCCAGGAGCUGAAUACAGGGAGGCACAGUGAUCCAGCUUCACCUUGAUGGUCCCAGGACAGGAGUAUACCCAGCCACUGCCAUCUAUGCCCUGCCCUGACAUCCUGCAGUUGCCUAAUGCCCACCAUCGGAAUCCCAUGACCCUCAGGAUUGCCCUUGGGUGUUCGCUGUCUGACGGGCAGAGUGGGGGAGGGCUCUGGAGGGCAGGAGGAUGAGUUAGGAGACAGGGCACCUGGGCUUGGGUAAAGUCCAGUCCCUCACUCUGAUCUGCAGCCUGGCGGGCAGGUCAGCAGGCACCACGGCUGGGCUUAAUGGAGCUGGCAUCGAUUUCCCGGCUUGGGGUGGGGGGGCUGUAACCGGAAACUCCCCUCCCUGGCCGCUAUAUUUAGCAUCACAGGACAUGGGCGGAAGCAUAGCUCACUCCUGAGCCCAGCCAGCUCCGUCCAAAUCCUGGGCUGCCUCAUCCUUCAGCCUGGUCCUGAGGCCCCUCUGUGCCUAUCCAGCUCGAGCUAAGCACCCAUUCAGAACAGGCCCAGACCUCUCGAGUGUCAGGGAUCUUGGCGAGAGCCGCCAGGCGGGAGUCAGUCAUGUCCAGUGGGUGAUGAAGGCCUUCCUGAACAGGCAGAGCAGCUGACCCCGCAGGGUCAGGUCAGGGUUCCCCAGCCCCCAAGUAUACGGUUUGAAGGGUGUGUGAGGCGACAGUUCUCCACGUGUAGGUCCCUCUGCCCCCGGCAAUUCUGCCUGGAAGCUGCCAAAAUCGGUGCAGGGAGGGGAUUUCCAGGGGAGGGCCCCUCUCAAUGCCAAGUGGCCACCUUUCACACCUUCAGCAUCCGCUGGUCACCACCAGGUAAGGUUGUGGUGCCCAGGAGGAGGAGGUCAUCACCAUUGUGGUGAUGACACCUGGUCAGGGCAGGUGUCACCCAGGUAUUGAAUCUACUGCCCUGAGAGUCUCCGGCUGUUCUUCUAAGCAAGGAGACCCAGGUCUCCCUGCUCUCCAAGGCAUGCUGUUGGACAGACCCCCUGGGAGCCUGCGUACCUACAAGGCCACUGUCAGGGAUCUCGAUGAGAAUGUAAGUCGUGGUGUGACACAGCCAGCCAGGCUCUUUGUGACUUCCCACUGGUCUCAGCAGAAGACUGCAGUAUCACCGCCCACCUUGGUUUGGAUAUUUUGUCCUCACAAGCCCUUGUCAGGUUCUCUGAGCCCCAGAACCUUCCUGUGUUACUUCUACUCCUCAUCUUGCUGCCCCACCCUCUGGGUCUCAUGGGGCGUGGGAGUGGGAGUGGGGGUGUGUGUGGAGGCACCUGGUUUUAGACUCUUACGGUUUGCUGGUCUACAAUAUAUCAUCCACCCUUAGAGAGGUCCCUGCAGGUAGGUCAGGGCUGUGGCUGCCUCGUUCACAGCUUGGCUGGGUGCCUUAGAGAGAUGGUGAGCACAGGCAAGCUUGGAAAGCUAAGGCUCUUGUGUCCUCUGAGGCCUCCCUGUCUCCAGGCCGGAGGGAAAGUGAGGCUGAAUCUGCAAAGGGACUGUCUUCUGGAAAGAUGCAAGCGUCGGGAAGACUCUUAACACACUCCAAUUCCCUUAUUCGGUGGCCGUCCCGGUGUGUAGCCAGGCCUGGCUUGUGUCGUGGCCCCCCAACUGGCCUACCUGCCUGUGGGCUUCCUGGGCUCAGGCUGGGGUGGGAGCACUCUGAGUGCGCAGAGCCAUGGGGGAUGCUGGCCCACCCUUGCAGGCCUGCUGCUUCUGCCGGAGAUCUUGGAGAGGCAUUAGACACUGGUGGGACAGGUGCACUGCCCAAGGCAUUCCCAGGGCUUGGCUCCCUGUGCAGGUUGCCAGGCAAUAUCCAGGAGGCAGGGUCGUGUCCCUGGCCCACUUUUACUGUGCCUCUGAUUCACCAGUAUCAGAAUUUCCCCCUCCCUCAGUAAGUCCUCUGGCAGUGACUUGGUCCAGUCGUGGAAACCUGGGAGAGGAGCCUUGGAGAGAGGACAACCCAGCUAUUGUGGGGUUUUGAAGGGCAGGGUAACACAUCACCACCUCAAGUAUGGGGAUUUCUAAUCACUGGGGUUACCACUGGCACUGGAAAGGGCUCUGCUGCAUGGAACACAGGCCGUCUGUAGACGAAGAACCCUUGGUAUUGACAUGCGGAGGAGGUGAUCACCUAGGAACAGGCUCAAGAGAUGGUAGUGGAGGGGUGGGAUACCCAGGCCCUGUGACCUAGACUCCCAGAUUGCUGGAAAAUCCUCUUUGGGUAGCUCUCUUGAUAUGGACCACUGUCCUUUAUUCCCAGUUCCUUCUCCCCAAAUUUGGAUCUCUGGCCGGCGAGUUCCUUGCAGAUAAGAGUCUGACGACGUCCACCUCCGAAACAGCCUGCAGGAAGGAGCAUUUGUUGACUGGCUACUCAACCUGUGCGCUUGGAGGAGGGGAGGGCUGGGCGUCGGAGGGGAGCAGCGCCCCCUGUAGCCUGCCUGGAGGUGGCAGGAGGCUGAGGAGCGGGGGAGAUUCCUCGGGGAAGGGGGCGCACCAGGAGUUGGGCUCAUUCGGGUCCCAGGGCCCCAUCCGCCCUGCGUGGGGGCAAAAUCCUGAUGCGUACAUCAGGCAGCAUCUCCUUUGGGACCAGGAGCAGAGCGAGAGUGGCUGCGCUCUGAUGGGAGGGGACCAUGACGGUGACCUCAGGGGGCGCCCCACUCCUAGGCUGCUAACCCGGAGGAGAAUUCUGGAGCAGAAGAGGCCACACCUCAGCGAGCCUGGGCACAGGAGAAGCCACUGCCCGGUGGCCCCGCGCCCCGCCGCCCCGCGCGGAGACCGCGCCCUCGCCUCCUUUAAAGCCAGGGGCGCCCCCAGCACCCCCCCACAGCCCCACCCCACGGCGAGGCCCCGCCCCCUCAUGAAUAUGCAGGUGCGCGGGUGACGAAUGGGCGAGCGAGCUGUCAGUCUCGUCCCGAACU